rfam:Erinaceus europaeus unplaced genomic scaffold scaffold01399, whole genome shotgun sequence
AUAUUUACCUGGCAGGGGAGAUACCAUGAUCACGAAGGUGGUUUUCCCAGGGUGAGGCUUAUCCAUUGCCCUCCGGAUUUGCUGACCCCCGUGAUUUCUCCAAAUGUGGGAAAUUCGACUGCAUAAUUUAUGGGGGGAUGCGUUUGUGCUCUCCCCUG